rnacentral:rRNA from 1 species
CUUAUUAUUUAGAGGAAGGAGAAGUCRURWMMAGGUUUCCGUAGGUGAACCUSMSGAAGGAUCAUUGUGGAAACUGAACGKMMSAAUGACCCGCGRAUYGUCGUUGCGUACCGGGGAGAGCUYGUGAGCGCCUAAUGCUYGUGCGGCUCGCGUCGUGUCGGCGUGGAUGGUGCUCGAUUGAGGCCAGCGUCGCAUCGACGAACAAACAACGUCAGCMCGGAUCGUGCCAAGGAGCYGCAUGGAGGGAAUYGUUGUCCCCCCGCCUUCRAUUGUCUUCRAUGCGGRACGGGAGGCGGGGGGAUAUACGCAAUCUCUACUCGUGUCUAUAAAUGACUCUCGACAACGGAUAUCUCGGYUCUUGCAUCGAUGAAGAACGUAGCGAAAUGCGAUACUGGGUGUGAAUUGCAGAAUCCCGCGAACCAUCAAAUCUUUGAACGCAAGUUBCGCCCGAAGCCAUUCGGCCGAGGGCACGCCUGCCUGGGSGUCGUGAAUCCCCCUUGCCCCUUGGCACCCGUGUGCCAUGCAUGCGCAUUGACGGGGAUGUGCUCGGGCGCAGAGUGUGGUCUCCCGUGCGAUCGGCAUGCACGGCAUGUCGAGGCGCGGUUGGCCGAAAAUCGGGCAUUGCGGCGACGGGCACCACGGCGUUCGGUGGAUCGAAUGAGAUUGGCUGCGCCGUGGUCUCGGCACGCCGCGGGCUCCGGACUUCGACAAUCCCCGAGUGCGAUCCCAGGUCAGGCGGGACUACCCGCUGAGUUUAAGCAUAUCAAUAAGCGGAGGAAAAGAAACUAACGAGGAUUCCCUUAGUAGCGGCGAGCGAAUCGGGAAGAGCCCAGCGUGAAAAUCGUCCGUCGUCGGCGGCCGAAUUGUAGUCUGGAGAAGCGUCCUCAGUGACGGASSGAGACCCAAGUUCGCUKGMAGGCGGCGSCGGARAGGGKRAGMC